UACGAAGGGAGCUAGCGUUGUUCGGAAUCACUGGGCGUAAAGCGCACGUAGGCGGAUCUUUAAGUCAGGGGUGAAAUCCCGAGGCUCAACCUCGGAACUGCCUUUGAUACUGAGGAUCUUGAGUACGGGAGAGGUGAGUGGAACUGCGAGUGUAGAGGUGAAAUUCGUAGAUAUUCGCAAGAACACCAGUGGCGAAGGCGGCUCACUGGCCCGUAACUGACGCUGAGGCACGAAAGCGUGGGGAGCAAACAGG
rnacentral:rRNA from 1 species